CAGUAGCCGCGGUAAUACGUAAGUGGCAAGCGUUGUCCGGAAUUAUUGGGCGUAGAGGGAGCGCAGGCGGACAUAUAAGUCCAUCUUAAAAGUGCGGGGCUCAACCCCGUGAGGGGAUGGAAACUGUAUGCCUUGAGUGCAGGAGAGGAAAGCGGAAUUCCCAGUGUAGCGGCGAAAUGCGUAGAUAUUGGGAGGAACACCAGUGGCGAAGGCGGCUUUCUGGACUGUAACUGACGCUGAGGCUCGGAAGCCAGGGGAGCGAACGGGAUUAGAUACCCCCGUAGUCCCUGUCUCUUAUACA
rnacentral:rRNA from 1 species